UGCGAGGCCAGGAACUUUUUGGGUUUCGACUCUACCACUGUCAAAAUUGUAGUUGAAGUCCCUCCGAGAUUCGUUAAAGCACCUGAGAUCUACCACAUGGGGUACGAAACCUGGGAGACGACUUUAUCAUGCAAAAUCUUCGCUUAUCCCCCGCCAAAGAUACAAUGGACUCGGUCAUUCCGACCGUUACCUGUUGACCGUCACGUGGUGACUGGAAAAGAUUUGGUGAUCAAGGAUACUCGGCAAGAAGACAAAGGACCUUACAUGUGCCGCGGAGAGAACCACUUGGGCCAUGUCUAUGCACUGAUUGUGCUUGUCGUAAACCCUGUUCUUGCUCCUGUUAUUACCACUGCACCACCUUC